ACGCUGGCGGCGUGCCUAAUACAUGCAAGUCGAGCGCAGGAAAUCGACGGACCCCUUCGGGGGGAAGUCGACGGAAUGAGCGGCGGACGGGUGAGUAACACGUAAAGAACCUGCCCUCAGAUCUGGGAUAACCACAAAAAAUCGGGGCUAAUACCGGAUGGGUCAUCGGACCGCGUGGUCCGAGGAUGAAAGGCGCUUCGGCGUCGCCUGGGGAUGGCUUUGCGGUGCAUUAGCUAGUUGGGGGGGUAAUGGCCCACCAAGGCGACGAUGCAUAGCCGACCUGAGAGGGUGAUCGGCCACGCUGGGACUGAGACACGGCCCACACUCCUACGGGAGGCAGCAGUAGGGAAUCUUCCACAAUGGACGAAAGUCUGAUGGAGCACCGCCGCGUGAACGAUGAAGGCCUUCGGGUCGUAAAGUUCUGUUGUAAAGAAAAAACAAGUGCCGCAGGCAAUGGCGGCACCUUGACGGUACCUUGCGAGAAAGCCACGGCUAACUACGUGCCAGCAGCCGCGGUAAUACGUAGGUGGCAUGCGUUGUCCGGAAUUAUUGGGCGUAAAGCGCGCGCAGGCGUCCUCUUAAGUCUGAUGUGACAGCCCCCGGCUCAGCCGGGGAGGGCCAUUGGAAACUGG
rnacentral:rRNA from 1 species